rnacentral:rRNA from 1 species
UUGCUGGGUGGAUCAGUGGCGAACGGGUGAGUAACACGUGAGCAAUCUGCCCCUGACUCUGGGAUAAGCGCUGGAAACGGCGUCUAAUACUGGAUACGAACCGUGGAGGCAUCUUCAACGGUUGGAAAGAUUUUUUGGUCAGGGAUGAGCUCGCGGCCUAUCAGCUUGUUGGUGAGGUAAUGGCUCACCAAGGCGUCGACGGGUAGCCGGCCUGAGAGGGUGACCGGCCACACUGGGACUGAGACACGGCCCAGACUCCUACGGGAGGCAGCAGUGGGGAAUAUUGCACAAUGGGCGAAAGCCUGAUGCAGCAACGCCGCGUGAGGGAUGACGGCCUUCGGGUUGUAAACCUCUUUUAGCAGGGAAGAAGCGAAAGUGACGGUACCUGCAGAAAAAGCGCCGGCUAACUACGUGCCAGCAGCCGCGGUAAUACGUAGGGCGCAAGCGUUAUCCGGAAUUAUUGGGCGUAAAGAGCUCGUAGGCGGUUUGUCGCGUCUGCUGUGAAAUCCCGAGGCUCAACUUCGGGUCUGCAGUGGGUACGGGCAGACUAGAGUGCGUAAGGGGAGAUUGGAAUUCCUGGUGUAGCGGUGGAAUGCGCAGAUAUCAGGAGGAACACCGAUGGCGAAGGCAGAUCUCUGGGCCGUAACUGACGCUGAGGAGCGAAAGGGUGGGGAGCAAACAGGCUUAGAUACCCUGGUAGUCCACCCCGUAAACGUUGGGAACUAGUUGUGGGGUCCAUUCCACGGAUUCCGUGACGCAGCUAACGCAUUAAGUUCCCCGCCUGGGGAGUACGGCCGCAAGGCUAAAACUCAAAGGAAUUGACGGGGACCCGCACAAGCGGCGGAGCAUGCGGAUUAAUUC